AGGUGCAGUCAGUGAGGGGUGUGCGCAGUGCCGACGGAGAUUUCCCCUUUGAGAUCGUCAUGAAGAAUGGAAAACGGAAAUUAUUGAGUGCCGAGUCAGCGGAUCUGCGGGACGUGUGGAUAAAACUCCUGUGGAAGUCCAUGCAGCUGCCAGGACCCGGGCGACACAACUCAUCAUGUACCUGGUAUGACAUCCCAGAGCUCAUCCAACGUGUCAGC